CCCCUCCCGGCUCGCGGACACCCAGCCAAGGCCGCGCGACCCCGCCCCACUCCGCUCGCCGUAGACCACGCACCACCCUUUUUCACCACCGCCGCCGCCCGUGCGCGUGCGCGGGGGCCGCCCUACCGGCUCGCCCUAGUCUUUUGCUUUCUUUUUCCGGCCCGGGCCUCGCUCUCGCGCACGGGACCACAAUGCUCCGCGCCGCUUGUCAUUUGGAGGCGCCCAAAGAAUUCAGCCAGAGGAACAUGAACCACAGACGUUCAUCACCCUUCCCAGGACCAAGUUCAUUUUCAGCAGUCCAGGUGGGAUGACCAGAAAUGAAAUCUGUGCUGGACUCCUUGGAUCUCCUGGAGGAGUUGGCAUAACUGGGGCACAGCCUUCUUCUCUCGACCAGGCUUCGUUGGAGUGACAGCUGGCAAGUACAUAGAGAGCCCUAGAAGAAAGACAACAAUGAUGAAACAGUUGAAUGUUACAGAUGGUGAAAAGUAGUGUUGCCUUCUCUCUGAAACAAAGAACCAUUGAAGAAUUGUUGAAGCAACGGAUGGAGAGUUGCCCAGCAACAUGAUUCCCCAGGAAUGACAAGUAACAUUCCUUGAUUCAGUGACGCCUAAGUGGAAAAGGAUGAGAUGCCUUAUCUCCUGCCUUCCCAUUUCCCCUUGGAGGACUCUGAAAUGACGAGCACUAUUGAAGAUACUAAGGGAGAAGUGUGUUGCCAGAUGACCUUCUGAGGUCCCCAGAAGGAGGAUGCAGAGAGGGAAUCCACGUCAACAAGACUGGUCUCCAUGAACAGGAGCAGGAAAUAACAUUUUCUGUGACCUACUAUGGACCAGGGGAUCUGCAGACAUUUUAUUUAGCCUUGCCCCACAGCCUUGAGAGACACUUUCUUGAAUUAAAAGUUAACGAAGUUGUGACCUUGGGUAGAUGUCUAGGAGUGGAAUUACUCGGUUGUGUGGUAAGUGCAUGAUAUACUUUUUAUGAAACUACCAAAAUAUUUUCUCAAGUGUCUGUACUAUUUUAUGUUCCCACCAGCAAUAUUUGAGGGUUCCAGUGGCUCUAUAUCUUUGCCAACAUUUGGUAUCGUCAGUCUUUUUGAUACUUCUAGUAGGUGUGUAGUAUCUCAUUUUCGUUUUAAUUUGCGUUUCUCUAAUUCCUCGUGAUGUUAAGCAUUUUUCAUGUGCUUCAUAGCAAUUUGGAAGUCGUUUUUGGUGAAAUGUCUAUUCAAAUCCUUUGCUCAUUUAAAAAUUGGAUUGUCAGUCAUUGAAUUUAUUAGUCAUAGUAGUUUGGGUUUGUUUGCUUGUAUGUUUGUUUUUUGAUAGGUUCCUUAGGAUUUUCAUGUCAUUUGUAAAUAAAGACAGUUUUUUACUUCGUUUUUUCCAA